rnacentral:tRNA from 1 species
AAGACAUUAGUAAAUCUGAAUUACAUCACCUUGUCAAGGUGAAAUAGUAGGUUAAACUCCUGCAUGUUUUA